rnacentral:rRNA from 1 species
CUCGUAGGCGGCCAACUAAGUCAGACGUGAAAUCCCUCGGCUUAACCGGGGAACUGCGUCUGAUACUGGGUGGCUUGAAUCCGGGAGAGGGAUGCGGAAUUCCAGGUGUAGCGGUGAAAUGCGUAGAUAUCUGGAGGAACACCGGUGGCGAAGGCGGCAUCCUGGACCGGUAUUGACGCUGAGGAGCGAAAGCCAGGGGAGCAAACG